AGGUGAUCCAACCGCAGGUUCCCCUACGGUUACCUUGUUACGACUUCACCCCAGUCAUGAAUCACAAAGUGGUAAGCGCCCUCCCGAAGGUUAAGCUACCUACUUCUUUUGCAACCCACUCCCAUGGUGUGACGGGCGGUGUGUACAAGGCCCGGGAACGUAUUCACCGUGGCAUUCUGAUCCACGAUUACUAGCGAUUCCGACUUCAUGGAGUCGAGUUGCAGACUCCAAUCCGGACUACGACGCACUUUAUGAGGUCCGCUUGCUCUCGCGAGGUCGCUUCUCUUUGUAUGCGCCAUUGUAGCACGUGUGUAGCCCUGGUCGUAAGGGCCAUGAUGACUUGACGUCGUCCCCACCUUCCUCCAGUUUAUCACUGGCAGUCUCCUUUGAGUUCCCGGCCGGACCGCUGGCAACAAAGGAUAAGGGUUGCGCUCGUUGCGGGACUUAACCCAACAUUUCACAACACGAGCUGACGACAGCCAUGCAGCACCUGUCUCACGGUUCCCGAAGGCACAUUCUCAUCUCUGAAAACUUCCGUGGAUGUCAAGACCAGGUAAGGUUCUUCGCGUUGCAUCGAAUUAAACCACAUGCUCCACCGCUUGUGCGGGCCCCCGUCAAUUCAUUUGAGUUUUAACCUUGCGGCCGUACUCCCCAGGCGGUCGACUUAACGCGUUAGCUCCGGAAGCCACGCCUCAAGGGCACAACCUCCAAGUCGACAUCGUUUACGGCGUGGACUACCAGGGUAUCUAAUCCUGUUUGCUCCCCACGCUUUCGCACCUGAGCGUCAGUCUUCGUCCAGGGGGCCGCCUUCGCCACCGGUAUUCCUCCAGAUCUCUACGCAUUUCACCGCUACACCUGGAAUUCUACCCCCCUCUACGAGACUCAAGCUUGCCAGUAUCAGAUGCAGUUCCCAGGUUGAGCCCGGGGAUUUCACAUCUGACUUAACAAACCGCCUGCGUGCGCUUUACGCCCAGUAAUUCCGAUUAACGCUUGCACCCUCCGUAUUACCGCGGCUGCUGGCACGGAGUUAGCCGGUGCUUCUUCUGCGGGUAACGUCAAUGAGCAAAGGUAUUAACUUUACUCCCUUCCUCCCCGCUGAAAGUACUUUACAACCCGAAGGCCUUCUUCAUACACGCGGCAUGGCUGCAUCAGGCUUGCGCCCAUUGUGCAAUAUUCCCCACUGCUGCCUCCCGUAGGAGUCUGGACCGUGUCUCAGUUCCAGUGUGGCUGGUCAUCCUCUCAGACCAGCUAGGGAUCGUCGCCUUGGUGAGCCGUUACCCCACCAACAAGCUAAUCCCAUCUGGGCACAUCCGAUGGCAAGAGGCCCGAAGGUCCCCCUCUUUGGUCUUGCGACAUUAUGCGGUAUUAGCUACCGUUUCCAGUAGUUAUCCCCCUCCAUCAGGCAGUUUCCCAGACAUUACUCACCCGUCCGCCACUCGUCAGCGAAUCAGCAAGCUGAUUCCUGUUACCGUUCGACUUGCAUGUGUUAGGCCUGCCGCCAGCGUUCAAUCUGAGCCAUGAUCAAACUCU
rnacentral:rRNA from 1 species